CGCGUAGGUGGGAAAUUAAGUUGGAUGUGAAAGACUGGAGCUUAACUCCGGGAUGUCAUUCGAUACUGGUUUUCUAGAGUACAGUAGAGGGUAGUGGAAUUUCCGGUGUAGCGGUGAAAUGCGUAGAUAUCGGAAAGAACACCGGUGGCGAAGGCGGCUGCCUGGACUGAUACUGACACUGAGGCGCGAAAGCGUGGGUAGCGAACA
rnacentral:rRNA from 1 species